CAGUAGCCGCGGUAAUACAGAGGGUGCAAGCGUUAAUCGGAUUUACUGGGCGUAAAGGGCGCGUAGGUGGUUAUUUAAGUGAGAUGUGAAAUCCCCGGGCUUAACCUGGGAACUGCAUCUUAUACUGGGUAACUGGAGUGCAGUAGAGGGUAGUGGAAUUUCCGGUGUAGCGGUGAAAUGCGUAGAUAUCGGAGGGAACACCAGUGGCGAAGGCGGCUACCUGGACUGAGACUGACACUGAGGCGCGAGAGCGUGGGGAGCAAACAGGAUUAGAUACCCCCGUAGUCCCUGUCUCUUAUAC
rnacentral:rRNA from 1 species